GGCAUCAGGUCUUUUAUUCUGUGUGAUCCUCUGUUUGACCAGUGGACUGUGGACUGGAGCAAAUGCUCAAGGUCCAGAAGAAGGUGGAUGCCCUUCUCCAUGGAGACAGUUUCGUGACAGGUGCUACGUGGUCAGGUUAAGUGAAUUGGCAUGGGAUGAUGCACAGG